rnacentral:rRNA from 1 species
CGUCUAUAUACGUAUAGCAUAUCAAUAAGCGGAGGAAAAGAAACUAACAAGGAUUCCCUUAGUAACGGCGAGUGAAGCGGGAAGAGCUCAAAUUUGAAAUCUUCAAGGUUCUACCUUGACGAAUUGUAGUUUAAAGAAGUGUUUUCUGUUAGUGGAGUUGGUAAAAGUUCUUUGGAAUAGGACAUCAUAGAGGGUGAGAAUCCCGUAUUUGGUCAUUCCUCCAGCGUUGUGAUACACUUUCAACGAGUCGGAUUGUUUGGGAAUGCAGUCCAAAAUGGGUGGUAAAUUUCAUCUAAAGCUAAAUAUUGGCGAGAGACCGAUAGCGAACAAGUACCGUGAGGGAAAGAUGAAAAGAACUUUGAAAAGAGAGUUAAACAGUACGUGAAAUUGUCAAAAGGGAAGCGUUUGACACCAGUGUUGUUUUUCCGAAAAUCAAUUACGAAUGUUUUGUUUUUGAGGAGUUAUGACUUCAUCGGCUUGCUCCUUUCUUACGAAACUUUCUUAAUGCACUUUUCGGUUAACAAGUCAACAUCAAUUUCUUUUGUUGUAAAAGGGUAUGAGGAAGGUGGCUUUCUUUUCGGAGAAAGUGUUUAUAGCCUUGUGCCUCUGCAAUCGGAGAGAUUGAGGUCUGCAGCGUAGAUCCUUCGGGGUUAGAUACGUUUGUGCUAAGUUAUAGCUUUUCAUAGACAACUUGUUGACUAUGUUUAGUCUUGUAGCUUACUCGCUUAUGCUAUUUUACCUACGCUUAGGAUGUUGAUAGUCACAGCGUGUA